rnacentral:sRNA from 1 species
GAUUGAUCGAUCGACUUGUGAUGCAAAUUCUCAGUUAAUCCCUCAAUGAAAAAUAUGAAAUUGCAAUUAAUUGAAUUUAAAAAUUGCUUUAUUGCAUACAAAUUUUGACAUGAAUAAUUCGGAAGCAAUCACAUGACACGCGAACCGCAGAAAAUGGAACAGAUAAUAUUAUUUGAACGGAAUUUUCAAAUUAGUCAGGGUUCAGAUACUCGUAAAUAAUAAACAUAAAAAAGGAAAGCCAAUUUUCUUCAAAAAUUAUAAAUUAUUUCUGGCUCUACAGAGAUCCGUAAAAUUACACGUAACCGGAAUUUAUUUAUGUGGCAUUGAGAAUACACCAUAAAUAAUUGGAUUCACUACAGUGUUCACACAAAUUGCCGCAUUCAGAAAACUGAGAAAAUGUCGGAGCUCUUCCAUAAUCGGCAUCCCGAACAAAUUAAGCACUGUGAACAGAUUAUAUGGGCUCCAGAUGCACAGAUAAGCCACGAUUAUCAAAGCAGCUUGCCGUUUCGCGUGUUGCUUGGCUCUGUGGAUAGUGCUCACUGCCAUUGCUCCGAACUUUGAUCCUCCACCAGUGGAAGCUCGUGAUCUUAUGGAUCCUUGACGCGUUGGGUGGGAGUUAUGAGAUUCGAAGUCGUAAGAUGACGAGGAUCUCAGAGCAAAUGAUUCUUCCUGUUGAAGUAGAUAAGUCGACCUUGUCGGGGAUCUCGUCGUAGUCGACUGAGUCUCAUCGAUAGUCAUAAUGUCAGAUGAUUUGACUCGGAAAUUGAAGCAAGAUGUUGAUGCCUUGUCUGAAACGAGAAAAUAUUGUUAAAAUGAACUCUGAAUAAUGUGGCCAAUUACCUUGCUUGAGAUGACCUUGAAGGAUGAGUAACACAACUAUAUAACUGCCGAUGAUGACGAUACACGGGAUCCAGAAGACGAAUAGAAAAUGAUUGAUUGCGUACAUCUUCUCCCAUCGUUCCAUCGAAGCGGCUUCUUCGUCGAUUUGUUCUCGUCGGAUGUCUGUGGUCGCAGGAUCGUGGUACUCGAUACGCUUCUCGUGAAGGAAGAUCAUGAAGAUUGUGGCGCAUUGUCUGAAAUUUGAAAUAAUCAUUUUUGUCAAUUAAUUAUAUAUUUUUUUAGUUCAACGUUUGUUGGUCUCUGCCAAUUAAACGGUGGUAGUGUGUAUUUUUUCCAUCUCUACGACUUCAAAGGAGGAACGUGGUGGUGCCAGGCUGUCCCACUAUGUUUUGAUCUACAAAAAAUGCGGAAUUUUUUGCCCAAAAAAAGUGACGUCAGCACGUUCUUAACCAUGCUAAAUCAGAUCAGAACUAUGCGUCUCUUCUUCUGCAUUUUUUGUAGAUCUACGUUGAUCAAGCCGAAAUGAGACACUCUGGCACCAUGCGAGGAGGGCGCAUUAAUGCGAGAUGGUCUCGCCACGCGUCAGCCAUUGGCUUUUGGGGGCUCGCAGCGAAACCAAUACGUGGCGCGUGGUGAGACCAUUUCAUAUAAAUCCGCCCUCCUUUAAAAUCGCAGAAGUGAACAAAAUACACAGCACGUGGUGUCAGAGUGUCUCAUUUUGGCUUGAUCUACGUAGAUCUACAAAAAAUGCGGGAGAAAGGACGCAGAGUUCUCAUCUGAUUUUGCAUGGUUAAGAACGUGCUGAUGUCACUUUUUUUGGGCAAAAAAUUCCGCAUUUUUUGUAGAUCAAAACAUAGUGGGACAGCCUGGGACCACGUGCGGUUUUGUAGUUAAAGGUUUGCUAAAACUUAUAGAGGAAAAUAAAAACUCUUUUUUCUCUUAAAGCUAUACACUUGAACACUUCAAAAACUCACUUGAAAUCAAUAUUCUCAUAAGGGCUAGUCGUUGUGAACACCACCGCCUGUGGAAGUGACAACAAGAACGCCAAAACCCAUCCGCAUCCAAGAAGGUUCCGACAUCUGAUGUAAGCUUUCCGAUGAGCAUUCAAAGAGCUUAUGUUAUAGGCUCCAAACACUCGAUCAAUUGCAAUACACGCGAUCACAAAAGAGUUGAGAUAAAAGGAGAACGUGGAGAAGAAGGCACAGGCUCUGCACAAAAACUCUCCGCCAUACCAUUGAUAUGUGAUAAGCCAGAUGAUUUGUUUUGGGACAUAAAGGAAGAGAGUCAUCAAAUCGGCUAGAUUAAGCGUUAUUCGGAGAAGGAGGAUUUGGCUUUUCGCUUUGUGAGUUCUUGAGAAGGCACGGAGAGAUCUGGAGAGAGCCAUGAGAUUCAAUGGGCCACCAAUGAAGAAUACGAUUACGUAGAUGCAUACUUCGAUCUGGAAAGAUAGAG